GCAAACUUGGUCAUUUAGAGGAAGUAAAAGUCGUAACAAGGUUUCCGUAGGUGAACCUGCGGAAGGAUCAUUAAUUAUUCUCGAAAGUAAAGGCGGACGGGUGGAGGCAUGGGUAGCCGUGCAUCUCCCACGUCUCUUUACUCUUCAUGAACAUCCCUUCUGUGUAUGACACUUUGGUUGCUUCCCGCAUGGCGUGGCCUGUAAGGGCUACACGGCGGGGAGGAUAUCAUAAACUCUGGUUGUUGUGUUGUUAGUCUGAGUGGUAAACACAUUAAACAAGUUAAAACUUUCAACAACGGAUCUCUUGGUUCUCGCAUCGAUGAAGAACGCAGC
rnacentral:misc_RNA from 1 species